GUUCAUUCACAGCAGCCAAAAUCAAUAAUGCACGAUUGAGGGGGAAAAAAGGGGAAAAACCCGAAAUUUUCAAGGCCUACACCAUUUUGGGAGAGGUAGAAGAGGAGAACGAUGCUAUUGCUAAGUCCUGGCAGGUCCAAUUUUGGAUGCCAUAGAAUCUUGAAUCUGGGGCAAUUGAGACGGUUUUGCAGGAACAGACUUGGACAAAGAAAGGAGACAGAACAGAGAAGUGAUAUUGGGGCACGGUUGGGGCUGUGGGGACGGUAUUGCAUCAACUUGCCGGCCGUGCAAAAUAGAGCAGAAAAAACAGGGGAGGAGAUCGGGGUAUUUACGUUUUUU
rnacentral:misc_RNA from 1 species